rnacentral:tRNA from 1 species
GAUCGUCACGGAGGGGCGCUCGGCGCUCUCGGGCAGCACCGGCGUCGCGCGGCGUGCGAAGCGGCCGGUCAUGGCGGCGGCCAUCA